GGCCUCACCUCGGGGAGCACGGCCUGCCGCGCUGAGAUGCUUAUCAAGCGAACCCGUAGAACCUGAACCGGCUAGAACCGGCGGAGGGAAGGGUUUCGGUUUCAUC
rnacentral:ncRNA from 1 species